rnacentral:rRNA from 1 species
GAUGAACGCUGGCGGCGUGCUUAACACAUGCAAGUCGAACGAAGCGCUUAAACGGAUUUCUUCGGAUUGAAGUUUUUGCGACUGAGUGGCGGACGGGUGAGUAACGCGUGGGUAACCUGCCUCAUACAGGGGGAUAACAGUUAGAAAUGACUGCUAAUACCGCAUAAGCGCACAGUGCUGCAUGGCACAGUGCGAAAAACUCCGGUGGUAUGAGAUGGACCCGCGGUGCAUUAGCUAGUUGGUGGGGUAACGGCCUACCAAGGCUGCGAUGCAUAGCCGACCUGAGAGGGUGAUCGGCCACACUGGGACUGAGACACGGCCCAG